CCGGCACGGGUGAGUAACACGUAUCCAACCUGCCGUCUACUCUUGGACAGCCUUCUGAAAGGAAGAUUAAUACAAGAUGGCAUCAUGAGUUCACAUGUUCACAUGAUUAAAGGUAUUCCGGUAGACGAUGGGGAUGCGUUCCAUUAGAUAGUAGGCGGGGUAACGGCCCGCCUAGUCUUCGAUGGAUAGGGGUUCUGAGAGGAAGGUCCCCCACAUUGGAACUGAGACACGGUCCAA
rnacentral:rRNA from 1 species